rnacentral:rRNA from 1 species
GAUGAACGCUGGCGGCGUGCCUAAUACAUGCAAGUCGAGCGAACAGACGAGGAGCUUGCUCCUCUGACGUUAGCGGCGGACGGGUGAGUAACACGUGGAUAACCUACCUAUAAGACUGGGAUAACUUCGGGAAACCGGAGCUAAUACCGGAUAAUAUAUUGAACCGCAUGGUUCAAUAGUGAAAGACGGUUUUGCUGUCACUUAUAGAUGGAUCCGCGCCGCAUUAGCUAGUUGGUAAGGUAACGGCUUACCAAGGCAACGAUGCGUAGCCGACCUGAGAGGGUGAUCGGCCACACUGGAACGGAUACACGGUCCAGACUCCUACGAGAGGCAGCAGUAGGGAAUCUCCCGCAGUGGUCGAAAGCCUGACGGAGCAGCGCCGCGAGAGUGAUGAAGGUCUUCGGAUCGUAAAACUCUGUUAUUAGGGAAGAACAAAUGUGUAAGUAACUAUGCACGUCUUGACGGUACCUAAUCAGAAAGCCACGGCUAACUACGUG